AGAAAAUAGUUUCUGUCUAAAGAAGACAGAUAAGAAAGAUAAUAUUCAUUUAUAGGAAAAGAACAGGGCUUAGAACGCCUGAGGAGAAACAGUCAUGAACAUCAAAUUUUACCUCUAAUUGAAAGGGAUGAUAUUGAGAGAUGGUGGGUGCUUCAUGGUUUCUGUUUUAAGCCCACGUCUUCAUUAUUCUCUGUAACACAGCUUUAGUCCUUUAAUGUUAUUUCACCGAGUGACCAGAAGGCGUCGCUAGAAGACAUUUUUCUCUGGGGACAGUUCUCUUGCUCUCAGCCCAAGGGCGAGGUAAAAACAGACAUUCCUUGGCUGGGAUGAUGGUGCAUCUUUUAUCUAGCAAGUCAGACUUCGGCUCUGUGUUUCAAUCAGCUGUAAAAUCUUCGGGGCCAUCUUAGAGAAGGGACUUUAUUAUUUUUCCAGACAUGCUGUCUUCAGAAUACAUGAAAUUCAAAAUGUUAAAAUGAGGUGGCUGUGGUCAUGUCUUGGCCAAAGGCGUCUCACCUACUGAGAUUAUGGCUCUAUCGCAAGGAAGAGCUUGGUGCUGAACUCUUAGAGGCUGGCAUGUUUCCCUCCUAGAUUGGCACUGUUGAAGAAGAGCGGGGAGGAAGACUGGAGAAACAGACUCAGCCGGAGGCAGGAGGGCGGGAAGGCGCCGGCCAGCAGCCUGCACACCCAGGAAGCGGGGCGGUCCCUCAUCACGAAGGAAGAAGGAGGAGUUGCGGAUGAUAAUGCCAUUUCUAACCUGCUUUGGGGACCUGUACAUGCCUCUCCUUAUUCUCCUGCUAUUCCUGCUGCCCAUAAACACCUGUGUUUUGUGUCGAUUAAUCAGGUGAGGAAAAGCCGCUCAUCUGAAGCCUCGCCUCAAUUUCCGAGCAGCAGGGGAAGAAAUUCUGUUGUAAUUUGGGGAAAUAACUUAUUUGCUGUAUUUCACUGAGAGAGAGAGGGGCGUGUGUGUGUGUGUGUGUUUCGGUACAAUUGUGUGUGUCCAUGAGAAUGUGUAUGUAUCUAUGAGUGUGUUUCUGAGUGUGUAUCUGUGAGAGUGUGUCUGUGAGUGUGUGUAUAUCUAUGAGUGCGUUUCUGAGUGUGUAUCCGUGAGAGUGUGUCUGUAUGUGUGUGGGUAUCUGUAAGAGUGUGUGUGUGUGCGUGCGCACACCUGCAUAUGUGUGUGUUUAAUUGGUUCUUCAUAUAUUUAGGGUCAGUCACACACACACUGAUCCUUGCGCAGAUUUUCAGGUGGGCUUGGUGGUAUUAAUUCACCUCAUAGUCAUGAAACUGGUUUAAGAGGAGAGUGUCCCAU
rnacentral:lncRNA from 1 species